rnacentral:rRNA from 1 species
UACGGAGGAUGCAAGCGUUAUCCGGAUUCACUGGGUUUAAAGGGUGCGUAGGUGGGCAGUUAAGUCAGUGGUGAAAUCUCCGGGCUCAACCCGGAAACUGCCAUUGAUACUAUCUGUCUUGAAUAUCGUGGAGGUAAGCGGAAUAUGUCAUGUAGCGGUGAAAUGCUUAGAUAUGACAUAGAACACCAAUUGCGAAGGCAGCUUACUACCCGAAUAUUGACACUGAGGCACGAAAGCGUGGGGAUCAAACAGG